rnacentral:rRNA from 1 species
UACAGAGGUGGCAAGCGUUGUUCGGAAUUACUGGGCGUAAAGGGCGCGUAGGCGGCCUUCUAAGUCAGACGUGAAAUCCCCCGGCUUAACCUGGGAACUGCGUCUGAUACUGGGAGGCUUGAGUAUGGGAGAGGGAUGUAGAAUUCCAGGUGUAGCGGUGAAAUGCGUAGAUAUCUGGAGGAACACCGGUGGCGAAGGCGGGUCUCUGGGCCGUAACUGACGCUGAGGAGCGAAAGCAUGGGGAGCAAACAGG